CCUACGGGGGGCAGCAGUGGGGAAUAUUGCGCAAUGGGGGCAACCCUGACGCAGCAACGCCGCGUGAUUGAAGAAGGCCUUCGGGUUGUAAAGAUCUUUAAUCGGGGACGAAUUUUGACGGUACCCGAAGAAUAUGCUCCGGCCAACUACGUGCCAGCAGCCGCGGUAAUACGUAGGGAGCAAGCGUUAUCCGGAUGUACUGGGUUGAAAGGGCGUGUAGGCGGGUAUGCAAGCCGGAAGUGAAAUCUGGGGGCUUAACCCCAGAACUGCGGUUGGAACUGCGUGUCUUGAGUGCUGGAGAGGCAGGCGGAAUUCCCCGUGUAGCGGUGAAAUGCGUAGAUAUGGGGAGGAACACCAGUGGCGAAGGCGGCCUGCUGCACAUUAACUGACGCUGAGGCGCGAAAGCGUGGGGAGCGAACAGGAUUAGAUACCCUUGUAGUC
rnacentral:rRNA from 1 species